AUCAGUUUGAAAAUCGGAUAUUAUGAGAAACGAAACUAUUAUUUUUAGACCCACGAGUUUUGCCCAUUAAUGCUAAUACAGUGCCGAGAAGACACCCAGUGAGUACAGCUGACCUCACCCCUUCCAGUCUCCAAGCUAUAAUGUAGAGAGUCACCAGAAGGUGGAGCCCCAUCAGGCAGGGGCCGCCCUAAUGUCACCACAGAAAGACCACCCUAAGCUUUUAUAUUCCAAAAAACAGAGUGAAUCCUUGUUAUCUGUUGUCUGUUAUCUGUAUG